GCAAGCCAUUAUGAAAGGUGCUUGU
rnacentral:piRNA from 1 species